rnacentral:rRNA from 1 species
CCUACGGGAGGCUGCAGUGGGGAAUAUUGCGCAAUGGGCGAAAGCCUGACGCAGCGACGCCGCGUGAGGGAUGAAGGUCUUCGGAUCGUAAACCUCUGUCAGCCGGGAAGAACGGUCACUGUGCUAAUCAGCAGUGAAUUGACGGUACCUGCAAAGGAAGCACCGGCUAACUCCGUGCCAGCAGCCGCGGUAAUACGGAGGGUGCGAGCGUUAAUCGGAAUUACUGGGCGUAAAGCGCUCGUAGGCGGUAUGUCAAGUGCAGGGUGAAAUCCCCGCGCUCAACGAGGGACCUGGCUUUGGAACUGGCAGACUGGAGUGUGUGAGAGGAUAGGGGAAUUCCAGGUGUAGGAGGGAAAUCGGGAGAUAUCUGG